UACAGAGGUCCCAAGCGUUGUUCGGAUUCACUGGGCGUAAAGGGUGCGUAGGUGGCGAGGUAAGUCGGAUGUGAAAGCUCGGAGCUCAACUCCGAAAUGGCAUUGGAAACUACCUUGCUUGAGGGUUGGAGGGGGGACUGGAAUUCUCGGUGUAGCAGUGAAAUGCGUAGAUAUCGAGAGGAACACCAGUGGCGAAGGCGAGUCCCUGGACAACUCCUGACACUGAGGCACGAAAGCGUGGGUAGCAAACAGG
rnacentral:rRNA from 1 species